AAAGGUUUUCCCCUGACAUUAAGUCGAGUCAUGUCUGACUCUGAGGGUUGGUGCUCAUCUCCAUUUCUAAGUUGAAGAGCCGGCGUUGUUCGUAGAUACCUUCAAGGUCCUGUGCCUGGCAUGACUGCAUGGAGUGCUGUUACCUUCCCACCGGAGUGCAGAGAAAACAACACAAGGCAUUUUCCUGAAUUCAUUAUGAAGUCUACUGUACCUGUCAACAUGUCAUCAAAGCUGGACCGAGCUUCAGGAUGACGCAACAAUGACUUUGGAGUGAAGACAAUGAGCUGAAAAAGGAAUGGAUUCCAGAUUCAGUGUCAAGACUGAGACUGAAACACUUUCUGAGUAAGCACUGAAUUAUCAUACUAACAUUUAGGAGUUGUUUAAUGAAAGCAUAAAUAACCUGAAGUCCAUAAUACACAGAUUUUGUAUUUUAAGUAGUCUGAAAUGAACCUAGGAACAACUUGGAAAACACUAUGUUUGCAGAAAUACAGACUACCGACCAGGUUUUGACAGCUGAAGAAAAGUCGAAGAUAAAUAUAAUUAACUAUAUCUGUAACAGCUCUUAAUAAAUUAAUGUGCAAAGGUCACUGUAAAAGUUAUGAAAGACAGAAAUACAAUGCAGAAAACAUAAAACAUUUCUGUGCACAGGCAUUUGAAAUUAGAAACAGAGAACCAAAUGAGAGGCUGUAAAAAUACAUAAUAGAGGCAACCACAAAAUAUGCAAAAUAAACUUUCAAUUUCUUUCAGGACUUUGCUUUUAGAGGCACAGUUUUAGUUCUCGCAUGCAACAGAACUUUGUCUUUGAUUGAUGCAGUGAUAAAACUAUGGAAUAAAACAACCUUACAC